GCUAGUAAUCGCGGAUCAGAAUGCCGCGGUGAAUACGUUCCCGGGUCUUGUACACACCGCCCGUCACACCAUGGGAGUCGGAAAUGCCCGAAGUCUGUGACCUAACCGCAAGGGAGGGGCAGCCGAAGGCAGGUCGGAUGACUGGGGUGAAGUCGUAACAAGGUAUC
rnacentral:rRNA from 1 species